GGCGGACCUGAGCAGUGAUAACCCAUUUGUAUGACCAAAGCUCAAAGCACCUCUGCUCAGAGCACACUUCCAGCACUGCAUUUACAGGAAGGUCUGUCUGGGCAGCAUUUUGGACUGAGAGGAAAACAGGCAGGUUUGUUCAAGGGUAUGAUUUUGGAAAGAGCUGAUCCCAUACUGCUGAAGGUGGUAAUCCUGUCCUCCUCCUGCUCCACUUCUGGGGAUUCCCAUGCGUCAUCAAACCAGCUCCGGCCUGGCAAGGUGAGUCAGCUGGCUAAAUAGCCAGAGACCCAACCCAACUAAAAGCAGAUAGGAAAGAAAAAAGUGUUUUAUGCUGAUUGGGCAGCCAAAGUCAGUCUCCUGGAGUGAGUGAGAGGCAGUGAGGCGCAAGGAAAGGCAGAGGUACCAGGCUGGAUGCCAGCCCAAGACAUGCAGGUCUGUGGGUGAGAUUCCACUCCUGGGAACCAGAGGUGACCAAAGUCCAGGGGAGUUUAGGCACGUGGUGGUGUUGGAUACUCAAUGGUUCUUUGCAAAACAGCCUCGCUUGCAUCAACGAAAUCAGCAGAGAUGUGAGCUGGAGGAUUGUGCGUGCUGAUUUGGAAGAGAAGGCGAGCAUGUUUGGGAACUACAAGUGGGAG
ensembl:lncRNA